GAAGACAGUGUAGACAAGAACAAAAGUGCCAAUAAUCUCAGCACCAAGGCCAUCUCCCUUGGUGUAACCAUGGGCAACAACAUUGGCACCUCCACCCUUAGUCUCAAACAAAGAUGGCUGGAACCCUUUGACAACACCAGCACCACAGAUUGCACCAAGGCACUGCAUCACAAUGUAGAACACUGCCCUGGUUAAGGACAAUUUCCUUGCCAGAAAUAAACCAAAUGUCACAGCAGGGUUAAUGUGUCCACCUGAUAUGCCAGCAGUGCAGUAAACAAGGGCAAAAAUCAUACCCCCAAAAGCCCAAGCAAUGCCUUGAACACCAACAGUACUACAUUUGCUGUUAGCCCUUGAAUAACCCAUAACAGUCAAUACAGUUAUGUAAAGGAACAAAAAAGUAGCCAUGAACUCUGCAAUCCCAGCUCUCCAAAAAGACCAAGAAUGUAGCUCACCAGCCUCAAAUAAUGGUGCUGGUGGUGCCUCCUUGUAGUCCUUGCUCUGUGCUGAAGUCCCUAAUGGCUGCCUUUCUGAAUACUUGUUUGCUCCAACCUUCACAUCCUCUUCUUUCCCCUCCAUUUUUACAAAAAUUUCUUCAAAAUUAUGCCAAAGAAAAC
rnacentral:misc_RNA from 1 species